GCCAUGUGACACAAUCAUAUCACAGGAUUGGUAGCGUGAGCCACCGCGCCUGGACUUAUUUGGAGUUUAAAAAUACCUUCUGGGUUUGUCGAGGGUUUUUUUGGUUUAUGUUUUCCUCCAAUAUUUUGCUUAUCUUUUAUUUAUGUUUACAGUGUCUUUUCAGAGAUUUAAGUUCGAUUUAUUAAACUUGCCAGUUGUUUCUUUAGUCGUGAGGCAGAGAUGGACAGAUUGCUCGAGACUAGGAGUUCCGGGUUGCAGUGACCUAUGGUUUCACCACUGCACUGCAGCCUGGGCAACAAAUGAGACCCUGUCUCAACAAAACAAAGCAAAACAAAACAAGGGCAACUAUGCCAUAUGACAUCAUCAAAUCACAGGAGUGAUAACUCAUCAAAUUCACAGGUCCUGUUCUGUGCUGCCUAACCAAUACUUGUUAUUGGCAGGGUUUUAGGGGUCUGUAUACUUUUUGUGUUAUUAUUUAAGAAAUCAUUUUCGGCCAGGCGCAGUGGCUCACGCCUGUAAUCCCAGCACUUUGGGAGGCCGAGGUGGACGGAUCACAAGGUCAGACCAUCCUGGCUAACACGGUGAAACCCCGUCUCUACUAAAAUACAAAAAUUAGCUGGGUGUGGUGGCGGGCACCUGUAGUCCCAGCUACUCAGGAGGCUGAGGCAGGAGAAUGGCGUGAACCCAGGAGGCGGAGCUUGCAGUGAGCCAAGAUCGCACCACUGCACUCUAGCCCGGGCG
rnacentral:lncRNA from 10 species